UACGUAGGGACCGAGCGUUGUCCGGAUUCAUUGGGCGUAAAGAGCUCGUAGGCGGCUGCUCAAGUCGAAUGUGAAAACUCGAGGCUCAACCUCGAGCCUGCAUUCGAUACUGGGUGGCUAGAGUCUGGUAGGGGGAUCUGGAAUUCCUGGUGUAGCGGUGGAAUGCGCAGAUAUCAGGAGGAACACCGGUGGCGAAGGCGGGAUCCUGGGCCAUUCCUGACGCUGAGACGCGAAAGCUAGGGGAGCGAACAGG
rnacentral:rRNA from 1 species